GUCUACGGCCAUACCACCCUGAACGCGCCCGAUCUCGUCUGAUCUCGGAAGCUAAGCAGGGUCGGGCCUGGUUAGUACUUGGAUGGGAGACGCUGAGGCGAGCGGAUCACGAGGUCA
rnacentral:rRNA from 1 species